rnacentral:rRNA from 1 species
AGGGUUUGAUCCUGGCUCAGAGCGAACGCUGGCGGCGUGGUUUAGGCAUGCAAGUCGAGCGCGAAAGUUCCCUUCGGGGAGCGAGUAGAGCAGCGAAAGGGUGAGUAAUGCAUAGGCAACCUACCCCUGACUCUGGUAUAGCGCCUGGAAACGGGCGGUAAUCCCGGAUGGUCCCGAGGACAGGAAUCUGACCUCGGGUAAAGAUGGGGAUCUUCGGACCUUUCGGUCAGGGAGGGGCCUAUGUCCCAUCAGCUAGUUGGUGAGGUUACGGCUCACCAAGGCUAUGACGGGUAGCCGGACUGAGAGGUUGACCGGUCACACUGGGACUGAGACACUGCCCAGACUCCUACGGGAGGCUGCAGUCGAGAAUCAUUCACAAUGCGCGAAAGCGUGAUGAUGCGACGCCGCGUGGAGGAUGAAGGCCUUAGGGUUGUAAACUCCUGUCACGGGUUAUGAAACGCAGUGCGUUAAUAGCGCGCUGCCUGACAAAGGCCCGAGAGGAAGUCACGGCUAACUCCGUGCCAGCAGCCGCGGUAAUACGGAGGUGGCAAGCGUUGCUCGGAAUCACUGGGCAUAAAGGGCGUCUAGGCGGAUCAGUUAGUCGGCUGUGAAAUCCCUCGGCUCAACCGAGGAGGUGCAUCCGAUACUGCUGGUCUUGAGGGCGAGAGGGGAGAGUGGAACUCCAGGUGGAGCGGUGAAAUGCGUAGAUAUCAGGAGGAACGCCGGUGGCGAAAGCGACUCUCUGGCUCGUCCCUGACGCUGAAGCGCGAAAGCUAGGGGAGCGAACGGGAUUAGAUACCCCGGUAGUCCUAGCCGUAAACGAUGGGCACUAGGUAGUGGCGUUUUCGAUGACGUCACUGCCGUAGCUAAUGUGUUAAGUGCCCCGCCUGGGGAGUAUGGUCGCAAGGCUAAAACUCAAAGGAAUUGACGGGGGCUCACACAAGCGGUGGAGGAUGUUGCUUAAUUCGAAUCAACGCGAAGAACCUUACCUGGACUUGACAUCGCGGUGGUAGGACCCUGAAAGGGGAACGACCCGGGGCAACCCGGGAGCCGUGACAGGUGUUGCAUGGCUGUCGUCAGCUCGUGCCGUGAGGUGUUGGGUUAAGUCCCGUAACGAGCGAAACCCUUAUCGUUAGUUGCCAGCGGGUAAUGCCGGGGACUCUAGCGAGACUGCCGGUGUCAAACCGGAGGAAGGUGGGGACGACGUC